UAAUCAUUUCUUAUUUUAAAAAACAAAACAUUGUUAACAAACAGACAAUUUGAUUUCACAAAUAAACAUCAUCACAAUAUACAUACAUCCAUAUGUAUGUAUAUUCAGUUGGUACCAUUUGUGGAUCUUAAUAAGGUUUCGUGUCAAUAUAGUUUCCUGGAGGAUAAUAAUUGCAAAUUAUAAAAAUCCCAUCAUUUUUCACGCAGUGAGACAAGGCACACCCAACGGUGGUCGAGUUUUUCCAAAUCACUUGAGUAUAAUGCCCACACGCCUUUCCAGGUCCGCAUGUGUUCGUCUCGUAAUCGUAAUUGUCCUUUUCGCUACACCACAUGUUUAUAGCAUCUAAAAUGGUCAUCUUGCCAGCCCCUGUAGCAAUAUUCUCGCCAUAUAUUUGUGUAUCUCUUUACGAACCUUAUUAUGGGCAUCCAAAAUAGCUUGCUGUGAGGUGGUGCCUGUCGAAGGAGCCGCGCUCAAUACCCUUCUGAUACCACUAUGCGCGUUAAUACUGUAGUCUUCUGGUUGGUUGCAUGACUGUUCAUCCUCGUGAGAGAAAUGUAGGAUUGCCAUGCAUAAAGCAAGAACCAGCGCAAUUUUACGCGAAAAUCCCAUGGUGCUAGCUAUUUGAUU
rnacentral:lncRNA from 1 species